rnacentral:rRNA from 1 species
ACGGAAGGCCGCAGUGAGGAAUAUUGGUCACUGUAGGCAACUCUGAACCAGCCAUCUCGCGUGAAGGAAUACGGCCCUACGGGUCUUAAACUUCUUUUAUAGGGGGAUACAGUGAGAUAUGUAUAUCUCUUUGUAGGUACCCUAUGAAUAAGCAUCGGCUAACUCCGUGCCAGCAGCCGCGGUAAUACGGAGGAUGCGAGCGUUAUCCGGAUUUAUUGGGUUUAAAGGGUGCGCAGGCGGCACGUUAAGUCAGCGGUGAAAGGUCGGGGCUCAACCCGGGCACUGCCGUUGAAACUGGCGAGCUUGAGUACGGAUGAAGUCGGCGGAAUGUGAUGUGUAGCGGUGAAAUGCUUAGAUAUGUCACAGAACAACGAUUGCGAAGGCAGCUGACUAAUCCGCAACUGACGCUCAGGCACGAAAGCGUGGGGAUCGAACAGGAUUAGAUACCCUGGUA